UACGGGGGGGGCAAGCGUUGUUCGGAAUUACUAGGCGUAAAGGGCUCGUAGGCGGCCAACUAAGUCAGACGUGAAAUCCCUCGGCUUAACCGGGGAACUGCGUCUGAUACUGGAUGGCUUGAAUCCGGGAGAGGGAUGCGGAAUUCCAGGUGUAGCGGUGAAAUGCGUAGAUAUCUGGAGGAACACCGGUGGCGAAGGCGGCAUCCUGGACCGGCAUUGACGCUGAGGAGCGAAAGCCAGGGGAGCAAACGGG
rnacentral:rRNA from 1 species